GUUCGAAAUAAAAAUUUUAAAUUAUGAAAAAGAAACAGGAAAAGUAAUUUUAAUUCAACAUUUACAGAAUAAUCAGGAGAAGAAGUGUUGGUAACUUCUUUUGAAACAAAUUGUAUCACAAGAAGAAGUGACAGUCUUACUGAUGCUUGGUCAAAGACUAAAAGAGCUGAGGACACAUUCAACCUGGAUAUAACAGAAAAAAAUGCAUUAAAAAUCUGCUUAAAGUAAAAAAAAAAUUGCGCACGAAAAAAGAAAAACCGAUGCUUUAUGUGUUUCUCAAGUACAAAAAUUUCCUCCAUCUUUCAUUUACAAAGAGCUUUAAAGUUUACUGAAUCUUUGUAGAAGUGAUGUCGAAUUGAGCCAUUGUGAAUCUGAUGGUUUGAUGAGCAGCAACAUUGGACUUCAAAAAAGAAAAGU